GCAGACAACACCAGGACUUCCACAGCACAUUUUGGGCAAUUCUGCUGUGGUCUGCCAAGCCUUCAACUUUACAGAUGAGGAAACUAAGGGUUUUAAUGUUUCUGAGAGAGUCUGGAACCUGAGAUGCGGGACAAGGAAUGGGUGGCAAUCUCUGUUAUGUGCCACUUAUGUGUCUGGGGGGAAGAGCCUAGAUUAAGUUCUAAGGAUUCGAUUUUUCAGGAUAAGAAACAUGCUACCUCUCCAAAUCCAGCAAGUGAACUGUUUGGAGAAGGCGCCAUGAAGAUGCCUCCAGAGGCUACACACUGCACCAGAAGAUCCAGAGUGAACUUUGGGAAGUGGUGAUUUGAACUGUGGGGGGGUUGAAUGCAUUUGUUUUGUAUGUAUACUCUUAUGCUAAAAGGGACUGCCCCCCAAUUGGUUUUUUGUCACUGUGUCUCGCAAUCAUUAGUUUUGUUCUCUUUUCCUUUUAACCCCCUAAUUAUUGUCAUUUAAAAGUUGGUUAUGUUUACAAGAUCUAUUGGAGAGACCAGUCUUCCACAUGGAUCUCAGGGGGAAUGUAUAUUUAGAAAUCUGUUACCCUAAAAACUACAUUUCCCAGGAGCCCGCUGACUUCCUGUCAUUAUGUACUUCCUGUAGACAGGGGAUAUUAUGGAGUGGGGUUCCUGAUCCCAGCUCUCUUUGCUUCCUGUCAUGACUGUGGUGGUAAUCUGGGGUUUUGAAUAGGUUGAUUAGCCAUGGGCAUAUGGUUUUUUUAUUUUGUUACCUUUUUAUUCCUUUAUUUCUAAUGAUCAUUAAUAAAUCUCUUAAAAUAUUAUAUUUUUAUUAUUUG
rnacentral:lncRNA from 1 species